rnacentral:lncRNA from 1 species
CCCAACCCCAGCGUGAUCUAGCCUGUGAGUUGGAAGCUGACACCGUGACCUGCCUUGAAGACUCCAAUUCUUUGGGUUCUUGUCCAUUAGGCCCACAGAUUCUCCCCCAGAUGUUUCAGCAAUAGCCAUUCAACAAAGGAAUCAGAAGCAGCAGCAAAAAACCUAAUAAGGGGCCCUUUGUGCCCAGCCGUUAGAAGACAGGAUUUUUCAAAAGUAUACUCUUCCCCCAGAAAGAAGCAGUGGAGUGCAAACGUUUACUGUGAACAUGCCCACGGGUUCUCUACAGACAUUCCAAGAGACAUACAAGGCCCUUCUUUUCCAAGAUCUGUCUGGCCAUAAAUUGCAAUCGAUGUUAAUUUACAAAAACAAAUGACACCAAUCCUGCACCACGACAUUUUGAAAUGGGAGAAUGAGGCAGAGCCAUAAAAUAGGGAUAAAAUAAAAACACUCACUCAUGCCCCA